UACGUAGGGUGCAAGCGUUAAUCGGAAUUACUGGGCGUAAAGCGUGCGCAGGCGGUUUUGUAAGUUUGUCGUGAAAUCCCCGGGCUCAACCUGGGAAUGGCGAUGAAGACUGCAAGGCUAGAAUCUGGCAGAGGGGGGUAGAAUUCCACGUGUAGCAGUGAAAUGCGUAGAGAUGUGGAGGAACACCGAUGGCGAAGGCAGCCCCCUGGGUCGAAGAUUGACGCUCAUGCA
rnacentral:rRNA from 1 species